UUAAGUAGUAGCACCAAAAAAAAAUUAUAAGGGUUGAAAAAAAAGUCAUCCCCCGAAAUUGCAAAAAAACUUUUUUUCUGGUGGUUUCUUAUAGAAAUGGGUUUGUAGUGGAUUGUAGUGAAGUUCUUUUUGUUUGUAGUAAAACAGAAAUUGAAAAAAAAAAUAUUAUAAUUUAAGAGUAUUUUUCCAAACCGCUCUUCCCUACACAAAACUAAUUUGGGGGAGAAUGCUAUUACUACAAACGUUAAAAACGAUAGAUAAAUGUACCUAGAGGUUUGUAGUGGACGAGUUUUCGUUUGUAGUUAGAUAGAAAAUAAAUUAGAGAGGUAAAAUCGAAAAUAAUCGUUUUGGAGUGAUUUCCUCUUAAUUACUUCCGGUAAGAGGAUUUUCCGAUUACUACAAACGUUAAAAACGAUUGAUAAAUGUACCUAGAGGUUUGUAGUGGACGAGUUUUCGUUUGUAGUUAGAUAGAAAAUAAAUUAGAAAUAUA